rnacentral:rRNA from 1 species
AAUAUUGGUCAAUGGAGGCAACUCUGAACCAGCCAUGCCGCGUGCAGGCUGACGGUCCUAUGGAUUGUAAACUGCUUUUGUACAGGAAGAAAAAGAGUUACGUGUAGCUUAUUGACGGUACUGUAAGAAUAAGUACCGGCUAACUUCGUGCCAGAAGCCGCGGUAAUACGAAGGGUGCAAGCGUUAACCGGAAUUACUGGGCGUAAAGCGCGCGCAGGUAGCUCAUUACGCCCGGCGUGAAAGCCCCCGGCCUAACCGGGGAGGGUCGUCGGGGACGGAUGAGCUUGAGGGUAUCAGGGGCUGGUGGAAUUCCCGGUGUAGUGGUGAAAUGCGUAGAGAUCGGGAGGAACACCCGUGGCGAAGGCGGCCAGCUGGGAUACACCUGACACUGAGGCGCGAAGGCGUGGGGAGCGAACG